CCAUGAACAUAGGAAGACCUCAAGGCCACUUAUCCGACUGGAUUUCUAAUGUGCGUCAAGGAUCCUCAGGUCACUUGACCCUCAUCGCUGUGCCUCAUGAGAGAUAACCCUGCUACGAAUAGCUGAUAAAACGCUUAGUUUAUUUGACAGGCAAAAUCCAGAUGCCCGGUUCUCAUUUCCCCACGUCAUCCUGUUACAAGACCUUGAACGGCUCGCUGAUAGACAUAGAGAGAACCACGCCUGAAGGAUAACGUUACCCACGCAGCACUAAGCGACGCAGCCUCCAGAGGUCAGGAAGUCUCUGGGACGGGAGAAACUUUGCAUGAAACAGAAAUCUACACCCAUUUCCUGAUACCUACAAGUUAGAAAAGAGUACAAGCCACACCACCAAGAGACCAAUAGAGGCAAGAGAACAUUCUAGAAGAAUCCUUCAGAGCUCAUUAAACCACUUAUCCAGUUUAUCACAAU